AUGAGUUUGAUCCUGGCUCAGAAUGAACGCUAGCGAAAAGCUUAACACAUGCAAGUUGAAUGUUUUUUAAACAUAGCGAACGGGUGAGUAACGCGUAAGAAUCUACCAAAGAAUUUGUGUUGAUCACAAAUAGUUGUAAAGAUAUGUAGUAUCGUUUUUUGAUGAGCUUGCGUAAGAUUAGAUAGUUGGUGGGGUAAAGGCCUACCAAGUCAAUGAUCUUUCACUGGUCUUAGCGGAUGACCAGUCACACUGGGACUGAGAUACGGCCCAGACUCUUUUUGGAGGCAGCAGUGAGGAAUCUUGGACAAUGGGCGCAAGCUUGAUCCAGCUAUUUCGCGUGGGUGAAGAAGGUUAUGUUGAUCGUAAAGCCCUUUCAUGGAGGUGAAAGAUAAUGUCUUAACUCUAAAAAGAAGCUCCGGCAAAUUCUGUGCCAGCAGCCGCGGUAAG
rnacentral:rRNA from 1 species